GGUCCGAUGCCACGUCGCCGGUAGCGAAAGAGAGCGAUGACCGGCGAUGCUAUGAUCGGACCAAAAUCAAACGCCGAUGCUGUUUCGCAUUGGAUAGGAACCUGUGGACCGAUUCAACGCCGUUCGUCCACGGAGCCGGUUUGUGCGAUUACAUAU